GAUCGAAAGUGCAAAAUGUUUCACUCUUUUGUAAUAUUUCUCUAGAGUGUGCUGCAUUUAUGACAAAAUUUUGGUACUUGCAUUAUCUGCUGACGAAAUUCUUGUUUGGUUUUGUUUUGAGGAUUCUUGCUGAAGCAUUUUCAUUUUAGCAUUGAGUUUUAUUGACUGGCAUUCUAAAGCCUGAACAUGUAAUAUUGCUAUUUAAAAUGGGAGACACAUCUGGGAAGUACUAGGGACUGGGCCCAUAAUUGCAUAGAAUAAACAAUUUUAUUUUGUAAAUCACAUCACAUCUUUUUAUAUUCUUGGCAUGGCAUGGUCACCUUACUAUGGUUCUAAGUGCAAAGUUCCAUAUGUGACAAACUUCAUAAUUAUUUCACAUUUGUAUGUACCAAUGGUGAUUGCAGAACAGUAAGUGAUACGCCCUUUACUGUUCUCUAGCAUUUCUCAUUCUCUAGAGAAGAACCGGAAAUCUGAAUUGGAGCUCAAUAUUGUGUAGAGUCAAAUUUUGAGUGUGAUCAUAGUUUGUGCUUCACUAUAGUUGAUUAUUUUCGAGGAUUAGAUGAAUUUUUGUUACUAUAUGUACACUGUAAAUAGUUAAUGGUGUCCUCCCUUCUGUAAAUGAUAUAUUUUUAAACUAAUAAGCCAAAAUAACUUCAGUUAUUUUACUGUAAAUAGUUAAUGGUGUUUCUCAACCUUUUUUAGCUGAUCUAACACAUGAUUUUUCUCCCACACGAGGAACUCGCUACUCGAGUGGUACCCAAGAUUCCACUUUGCAACAUUAUAUGAGUCAUCCAGGAGAACUUGCAGCACCUCAACUGUCAUCGCGCUUGAUCAGCUAAAUGCUAUGAACAAUCUAUGCUCAUGCAGAGUCAUUUUUAGAGAAGUCCAUUCGAGUUUGAAGUCAAAGACAAAUAUAGAUGCUUAUCACUGCCUCUCCCUGGCCUUUGAUGGAGCAAAAGCUGCAGAAUGGAGGCUUCACCCAUUAUGAGACGAACACAAAUUUGAUCGUCAGAUACCCUUUACCAAUGAAUUUAUUUAUUGUACGACAUGAGAACUUUAUCUUGAUUGGAGAGGUGGUGGUGGUAGAAGCAAUAUUACAUCAUUGUCAGAAUAAAAAUGUUGGCCAUGGGGUUGCCAUCUGGCGCCAAGAUACCUUAGGUGCAAGGGUGUGUCUACAGAGCCUCUGCCCAACGAUCUGUGCCUCUAGCUACGACCAAACCAGCCGAAAAGAAUGCAAAGCUUUUUAAGCUUUUUAGCAACAAGCCUUUGAAUAGGAAUUGCACUUGUAAAACCUUGGAUGUCAAUUAAUGGAUUCUAUGUCAAUCGAAAUGUAAACUUGCUGUAGUUGAAUGGUGUGCCUAAAUAUAUUGUUUGAGAGAGCUUGUCCAA